CGCGCGCAGUUCAGCGUAGGUUGGCUUAGCAAAGCGAGGCAGGGCGAGGUAAAGCCCAGAGCUGGUCGGAGCACGCGUCCUAGGUCUAGGUUGAGGCGAAGCCCAAGCCCGAGCCAGCGAAGCCGUUCCUUUUUAUAACCGUCGCGCUGCUCUGCUGACCUCCGCGCUCCUUUCCUCUCGUUCUCUCUUCUUUCUCCUCCUCUCUUCUAUUUUCCUUUCUCCUAUUCCCCCUCCGCUGAGCUUGGGCGCCGCCGGUGGCGCGCGCGAGAGGUCUAGGCCGCGUUCAGGUCGAGCGACGGCGCGAGUGGUUCCCUCUUCCUGCGUAGCGAGGCCUUAGGGUUGGAUCCCAAGGGGCGCGGAGUCUAGGUCGGAGGUCGUCUAGACACGGUGGAGCGACCGCGGACCAUUGUACUGUGGUUGCCAGGAGUACCUCAAACGCGGCGUCUCCGUCUAAUUUGCCUCGAUACUACUUUACCGGAUGGCUCCACACGGGGCACCCAUACGUCUCUGACAACCGCUCAGUCCGUCGGGACAAGCACAGCUGAGCGUUCUAAGCAGACCCGGUUUUGCGUUCACGUAGUCGGAAUUGUCACUACCGAAACCACACUUCGCCCUCUAGAAACAGGGGAGAUUCUACAGUAGCAGACUCGCCGCCAUGGAAGCGGUCUCUAAGGCGAGUCUCGAACUAAGCCAGGCCCUAGAGGAAUUCUUCGGUCUCAAAAACCGGUAGUACGGACAGUCGUCUCGUGGACGCAUGAGUAGGAGACGACGGGGAGCUCGAUUUUUUCACUUUCGCCCCUCGGUACAAGAGGCACCACGGUUCCCCGCGAAGAACGGAUGUUUCGGGGCCGGACUUUGCAGAUACCACAACGGGCUUCGAUGCUAAGACGUCUACACACUUCCAUAAGACUUCUUCGAGUACUGAGUCUUUACAUCAGUAUAAAAAUUACAAGGCCAUCUACACCUUUUCGAGUUGUAAGGUCUAAUAUUACUGUAAUAGUUCGUGGGCUACCUGGAACCCUGGUAGUUCUUCUUCGAUCUAAGACCAAGGAUGUGUUCCGGUAGACUAAAACGUCGACUACAGUCCGACUGGAAAUCGUUACGCUAUUGAAUGUUAGGAGCUCCCGUACGUCACGUACUAUACCGGUAAGUUGACUUAUUUUACAAACUCAGAUCUACCUUCUGUCACCUCUUCUUCAACCGAAGACGACGUUGCUUCGGUGUACAACUCCAACUAUCCCGGCUGAGUUUCUCCUCUUUCUGGGGAGGACAACUGGCGUCACUGAACAGUUAACUCGCACAGUCCGGUUGACUCUAAUACUUCGGCUUCUACUGUAAACUCCUCUUUCUUAGGAAACCUUUGACGAAUCGAAGAAACAGGCUCCUCGGUCUUAAUAAUGGACCAGUGUAGUAACUAAACAAUGUCGUCACAUAACUGUUGUUGUGUCUAGUCGGACCCCUACCUCUCUAUCUCUAACUAUAGGUACGUGAGUCACUACUAUAUGAUAAUCUUGACUUCUUCGCACAGCUGUUUAUAAACGUUCUCUCUCUAUUGGUCGUCUUUUUCAGUCUCGGGAGACUCUUACUCCGACACUUGCAAGGACCGGAGUCAGUGAACAGGUGUUUAGGGACGUUUCCACCACUCGGAUAACUCCUCCUACACCUGUAAACGCCGUUACGUAGGGGAUAUAACUAUCUCUUCCUAGGAGUCUAGUCUUGAUUGUUUACACCAUCAGGUUCAUCAAGGUCGUCACUGAGCCCUAGAAGUAGGUCGCUAAGACUGAGCCCGUCACUGUGACUUUCGCUUAGACUUUUCCAAUGAUUUUAUGGUCUUGUUGGACGUCUCGUUCUUUUCUCACUACAAUAAUUGGGACAACUACGAUUGGUGUGACGGCCACUACACCUUGAGGCACUCGUCCUGUUACUCAGGUUCCGACGUAGACUCCCCCUCUUACGUUUUGGGCUGUCCGUUCAGAGGGGCCUGUUCGAGAAUGCUCGUCGAGAAAACUCCUCGGCAAUACGACUACAAUAACAAUUUCGAGCACCCUAAGAGUCGGUCCCACUCCCACCUCUAUUUGUCCUCCUCGACCUCUUUGACGUCUUCCUUCUUUUUCUUGCCGAAAACCGACUUCCAUUACGUCGGUACCUUCGAGCGUCUCGACUUCGGCUUCGACUUAGAUUCACAUUCGCCCUGGAACUCUCCCUUUUCCGAGCAGUCCGGAACGUCCUCUACCUCUCUUGACAUCUUUAAUUACUGUCGCAGGUAGGGUUCCUGGAUCUUUACGAACCAUGUUAGUGGUGCCUUGUAUAACAUUCAAGACAACUACUCUGCUCAGGACUCGUAAGGGUCCUACCGUACGGGUCAAAAGAAGGACCAAGACCGUCGUACAACCUUUUUGAACCUGAUAAAUACUUUCAUCUACUCCUUCUUCUCCUUCUACUCGGUACGUCAAAGGGAUCGUCGUUUCUACACCUCCUUCAUCUUUAGCUAAUUACAGAGAACUGUACAACCUCGGAAGAGUAGUUUCUGUCUUGUUAGCUACACAUACCCUUUUAACGACCCAUCGACACGUGUAUAGUCUGUAAAAAAGACUUUGCCACGUGACUUAAGGGAGUAGUUUAAACUACGGCGACCUCCACAACUUAGUACACGAACGUCCUACGUGCGGGAACCUUCCCUCCUAUCUCUAGCUCCGUUGGUACAAAAGGACGUGCCGGGACUUCCCUCCUAUCUCUAGCUCCGGUGGUACAAAAGGACGUGCCGGGAACCUUCCCUCCUAUCUCUAGCUCCGGUGGUACAUGUCGACGUUUACUUUUACACUCAAGUAGAGGGUUUACUUGAAACAGGGUCUUAGCUCUGCGCCACGACCCUCGACAACAGCCCACAUAAUUAGACUAUUUUCGGGACCUUUAUGUCCUCCUGGUUUACCAAGGCAGUGUGACGAGCGGAGGGUAGACGUGACACUAGGUUCACACAAAAGGGGAUCGCCGAUCAACAAACGAGUCGUAUCGAAGAGAAUAAUCAAAACCUACAAAACAACGAAGGACGACAUUUAAGUUUAAAACUACAUCAUGUCCUUCACGAAAUCAACAAACGACCCGUAAAACAUUGUCCUUUUUGCACACCUUUACAAUUUAGAUCAAGUUACAACACUUGAGGGAGGUGGAAGUUACGAGGUUACGAGCUUAAUUGUUAAAAAACUAC
rnacentral:rRNA from 1 species